CCUACGGGUGGCAGCAGUGAGGAAUAUUGGUCAAUGGACGCAAGUCUGAACCAGCCAUGCCGCGUGCAGGAAGACGGCUCUAUGAGUUGUAAACUGCUUUUGUACGAGGGUAAACUCAGAUACGCGUAUCUGUCUGAAUGGAUCGUACGAAUAAGGAUCGGCUAACUCCGUGCCAGCAGCCGCGGCAAUACGGAGGAUUCAAGCGUUAUUCGGAUUUAUUGGGUUUAAAGGGUGCGUAGGCGGUCGGUUAAGUCAGGGGUGAAAUCCCGAGGCUCAACUUCGGAAUUGCCUCUGAUACUGUUAGGCUAGAGAGUAGUUGAGGUAGGCGGAAUUUAUGGUGUAGCGGUGAAAUGCUUAGAGAUCAUACAGAACACCGAUUGCGAAGGCAGCUUACCAAGCUACUUCUGACGCUGAGGCACGAAAGCGUGGGGAGCAAACAGGAUUAGAUACCCUAGUAGUC
rnacentral:rRNA from 1 species